rfam:Caenorhabditis japonica strain DF5081 Contig5093.1, whole genome shotgun sequence.
GUGUAGGCAGCGCGUUCGGCUGUUAACCGAAAGGUUGGUGGUUCGAGCCCACC